rnacentral:rRNA from 1 species
GACGAACGCUGGCGGCGUGCUUAACACAUGCAAGUCGAACGGUGAAGCGCCUUCCUUUUUGGUGGGUGAGGAUGAGUGGCGAACGGGUGAGUAACACGUGAGUAACCUGCCCCCUUCUUCUGGAUAACCGCAUGAAAGUGUGGCUAAUACGGGAUAUUCUGGGUCUGUCGCAUGAUGGUUUGGGAAAGCUAUUGUUUCGGUGGGGGAUGGGCCCGCGGCCUAUUAGCUUGUUGGUGGGGUGAAGGCCCACCAAGGCGGUGAUGGGUAGCCGGCCUGAGAGGUGGGCAGGUUGGACUGGAACUAGGGCCCGGCCAAAACUCGGAGGGAGGGGUGCGGUGGGGAAUGUGGCGGAAGGGAGGCAGGCCGAGUAAGGCGACGCGCGGGAAGGAGGGGUGCCCUUCGGGUUGGGAACUUCUUUGGCAAGGAAGGCGGGCCGGCUUGGUUGGUGGUUGGGUGAAGGGAACUGGAUAAGAAGCGCCGGCUAACUACGUG